UCCAGUACAAUACUGUCCCAUGCUCCAGAGAAGACUGGCAAACAUCCUGAACAGCAGGUUUGGACCCCUCCAGAGGUCCACACCCCUCUGCCUGCCGGAGCUUGUAAUGGGUGGAACCGAUACUCUGGGGCAGGCUUCUGCCUUAUCUAAAGGCCCUGUGGAAAGCAGGGCCUGCAGACCCCCUCCUCCUGUGGGAAGUCACCCAUUGGAGCUCCACCACAAGGUUCUAGAACAGUGGGCACAGAAUAGCUCUACAAUCCACCGAACACCACGACUGGGAGAACCAGGAACGAGAAAGUUCCACUGUCUACAAAUGGAUGAAGCCAACAUUCAUCAGAAACAUCAACAGGGACCAGGAAGGACACAUCCUACCAUACUCACUGACGAUUGAUUCCAUUAUCCUUUCAAAAUGUUUUUUGGCAACUAAUAAGUUCCAGAAGCUCAAUCGGCUUCUAGAAUACAGCAGCCAGCCAAAGAGACAUAUUCCCUGCCCUUGUAAAGCUAAUAUAUGAAAAUUAACUGAAUCAGACUUUUCUUCAGAAACCUAGUGCCAUAACCUGUGCCUGAAUCUGGAAUGAAGGAGAAUUUGAAGGAAAGACUUCAUCAAGUUGGUGUCUCGUCAGUCAUGGCUAAGAGCAUGAUUCGGCACACCUGGGUUUGAAACCUGACUCCACCGAUGAUAACACGAGUGGUCUUGGGCAAGUUUGCUAAACGCUCUGGGUCUCAACUGCUUCGUGGAACAAACCUACCUCAAAAGGUUGAAUGAGAUGCUGCAUCAUUGUAAGGGCUCAAUAAAUGUUGCUUUAUGAAGCAAACACCUAACUUCCUCCUGAUAGGCAUGGAUCAUGCCCCUUUCAUUUCCUGAAUGCAGGAAUUUGGGCUUCAAUUAUGAGCCUUGUCCAUCAGGCUGAGGCUUUAUCUUCUCAACUCAGAUAAUAAUUUUCACUGUGAAUUUUUAAUAAGGUGCUAGGAUGGUACAUCAUGAUAACCUCCAUGAGGUCAGGGAUUUUCUGGUCUGUUUGUUCACUAAUACAACUUCAGUGUCUAGAACAGUUUCUGGCACAUAGUAGGUUCUUGGUGAGUAUUUGUUAGAAUAAAGGAUACUGUACCUGUCGGCAGACUGCAGAAAUGAAUCUGCCUAGUCAUUACUAUUAUUAACAGCCGCCACUUUCCCCAUAAACUAUGAAAAGUGUUCCAUAAACUAUGAAAAGUGUUCCACAGCUCGUCUCUAAUUCCCUCCACAAAAUCACGAGGCAGGUCUGAUUAUUCUAUUUUACAGGUGAGCAAGCUAAGCAAUCUGAGACCCAGCGAGGUUAACAACUAGCCUUAGGCCACGUAACUGCUAAGUGACAGAACUGGGAUUUGAAGCCAAGGCUGGUUCCCACACUGUCCUAUGAUGCAAUCCAGGAACUCUCUUGGUUUCCUGAGGAGAAGCAGAGAACCUUCUUCCCCCCACCAGUCCCUCUGAUAUAGCCCCCAAACUAGAUGGUGAGGGGCACAGGAAAAGAGGCUGGCAUUAAAGAAACAAUAGGGCUGAAGAAACUGCAUUGUCAAUAACUGCUGAAAAAUCAUGACACUAAUUAAGAACAAUGCUCCCUGUUCUGCCAAAAGCUCUAGCUUCUUGCAGAGAUCAAUAAAUCAAAAAUAAUUGUUUACUUUGUCUAGGCUCCUUCCCUUCUGCCUGUAUUUUUUUCCUUCUUUCUUUGUAUAAUGUGAAAGUUGAUGAAGGAGCCUCAUUUUCACUAAUGAAAGAAACUUAAUUUUUUUGGCACUAUAUCCCUCAUUAAGAAGAGCGAAAUCCACUUAGGAGUGGCUUCUGCUGCCUUCCAUUUGUCCAAACGAAGACCCCCAAAUCAGCAUAGGGCCAGUUUUAGCAUGAAAUUAGAGCUGCCAUGAAAUUUAUGUCUAUUGUUUUAGGAAAGAUAUUUAAUGAUAGAUGGUAACAGUCACUAAAAAUGACCACAGCCGUCUCCUCACUCUUGUUUUUGUUUCAUCUCUCCACUCUCUCCCCAACAGUGUAUGCAGGGCCAACAGUGAAGUGGCCUCAAAGAACUUGGAAUCUAAAAACCAGGUUAUCACUGAAUACUAGAUGGAUACCAGAGGAGAAAUAAGUAAUAUUACCUUAAAGAACUAGCAAGAAAAAAAAUCUCCCAGGCUAGUACAUAAUAGUUCUUGCCCAGCCACAACACACUAGGACAGUAAAGGAAUAAGACAUAGGGCAUGCCCUUCCCAGGACUGUCUAGGACAUAUCCAGGACGAUCCUAUUAACUUAAAUACAUUUUAUGGCACAUGUAAUAGUUCAAAUGAUAUGCUGGUAAACGUUUUUAACAACCAGAUUUUUUUUGGGGGGGAAGCUCUAAUUUGUAACAUUUGCCAAUUAUCAUAGUGUAAAUAUUCCCACCAUGGUCCAUUGUAAGUGACCGAGAAGAAUGCUGGAUUUUGGAAGAGAUGUGUGUAAUCCUCUGUGUACAGCUGUACACAAUCCAUUGAAUACGGAUUUGUUAAGAGAUAUGUACAAUUGUUUCUUGUACAUCAAAACCAGCAGGCUCUGGCAACCCCCGUAGUAGCCUUUGCCUCAGGAAUCCUUUGAUUAUAAUUGAGCUCUCUGUGUGGUUUUGUUCUUGGGAGGAAACUCACUUUUCUGACUCAACACUGUCUGCUUAAUGGCUGACUCUUUUCUUCAGUGGCACAAGAUACAGUUUCAUGAUGGUUUAUACAUCAGUUUAGUGGGAGUCAGUCCCUGGAGCCAGAUCACACUAAGAGGGAUAGCCAACAAGGCUGGGUAGCACAGAUGGAGUUUGGUGAACAGAUCACAGUAUGGCUUCCCAUUGGCACCAGUGCAGCUGCCCAGUGGCCUUCCUUCACCUCAUGCGAAAUUCUUAUCACCCUCUGUUGUAACAGUUUUCUUCCUUCCUUAUCAGUCCCUUCAGGCAGGCUCUGAAUUCCAGAAGGAUAGGUAUGGGGACAUAGUCAUCCUUGGCACGCUGUGGUGUUAGGCUAAAAACCAUUAAUACAAGGGAGCUGGCUAAUUAGAAUAAAGGAAACAUCUACUGAGGACUUCUACCCACUGCUACAUGCUGCUAAGUUCAACCCCACGAACUUGAAUAUAUCUUCUCCCAUAAAACACUUGAAAAGAGAAAUUAGGAAGAGCCUUAUAGCCCCUGUCACAGACUCUCUAACACUUUAAAAAUUCCUGAACGGUGUGCUAAUGUGCUUUAACUUGGUUUAAAGUGGUAAGGUCUCCACAUCACCAUGGAAAUAUCCCCCCCAUACCCCUUUCAAAUAAUGAGAUGGUAAUAAAACAAUGAACUUGAGGUAAACAAGAGGCAGAAAUACUUUAAGCCAGAGGAUGAGCAAUCAAAAGACCAUUUGGUAACGCACUGUCUGCAGACUGAAUGGCGGAGGGCAAAUAACUAUGUACAAAUCUAACAUCAAGACUUGGAGUUUGAGUAUUGUAGACUACCGGUUUCUACUUGCAAAAUUCCCAUUGCAGCUAGCCACAGAGGUGUAUAAUAAAUUAGGUUCUGAUAACCUGCGUUUAGCCAAAGUGUGAAAAUCAAGUGGAUCCUAGAGGAACUCAGAGGCUGCAAAGAUUUAAACCGCCUAACUCAGGCAGUAUCGUUUGCGGGACCCAGGCUGUAUAGCCACAGAAGGAAUAUGUGGGCUGUUACUGAUCUGGAGGUGAGGGAGACCUAAUAAGUGGUUAUGGCUACACCAUUCAGUCUGGUCAUGCUAGACACCCCAAUUCUAAUAUAAUUAAAAGGAUUCCUGGACACCCCCACUUCACCCAGUCCACACCCAGACAUGAAAGACCUAGAGUCAGACCCGGCAGAGCCAUCUCCAACUGGCUAUGGGCUCAAGGAUGACCUCAGAAAUGUUCCGAGAAUGAGGUUGCUAUAACUUUAUUUCAGGUAGAAUGGAAAGCUGCAUUUAUUUCAGCUCAUGUGAGUGGGGGCGGGGGCAGGGAUGGGAGUCUUUCUACCAUCUGAGUUAAUUUCCUGCCUCGCGGUGGAAGUCCCUUCAGGGUUAGCAACGUGAACUCUCAUUCUCAAUGUCCAGCAUUACAGCUGCAAGGGAUAUGGGAUACACUGGGAGGCAGCAACCGCCAUUAUGUUUUUAGACAAAUCCCCAUGUCUUGCCUGUUUUCUUAUUGGACUGACAACAAGUAGUGGCAAUAAACCUCAAUUAAUUUAAAGACUAAUAAAUGGGUAUACAAGAGUUCUCUGUGCCAUCUUUGCAACUUUUCUGUAUAUCUAAACUGUUCUAAAAUAAAACAUUUCAAAAAAAACCUCCAGAAAAAAAAUUACGUAAUUUCUAGUUUAUUGAGAUGUUGAGUAGAGUUCCAUAAAGGGAUUGCUUUCCUGUUUAAAACUCUCCUUUGGUAUCAUCUCCACUGUAUAAAAAACUACAUUAAAAAAAAGACUGGAAGAAAAGAAGCAAGAAUGAUAAUAAUGGUUGCCUUUGGAGGGUGGGCAUCCAUUGGAAAGGUGGAAGGGUUUUUUUCCUACCUCUUUUAAUUUUUCUUUGUCAUCUAAAUUUUCCACCAUUACUUUUUAGGGAAAGGGUAUUUGUAAAAAGGCUUUACAUCUACUUUCCUACUGUCUACAAAUUAAAGCUUCUUACCAUAAUAUACCUUCCUAAUCUGGCCUUGUUUCUCCAAUUUCAUUGUCUACCAUCCCUUCUCCUCCUUAAGAUACCUGUACUUCUGGAUAAUUUUAAAUUGCCCACAGUUGUCCCAGACAUGCUCUGAGUCUUUGUACAUCAAAUAAUCCUACAGGUUCAAAUGCCUUCCCUCCUUUCCAGUCCAAGUUUUAGAUGUUUCCUUCAAAACCUAGCUAAGAUACCAUCUUUUGGGGGAAAAUAUUCCUGACCCCACCAUGCGUCUCUACAGAAUUCACUCUCUCCUCUCGCUGCCGUACAUAGAUUUCUAUCAUUGCCCUUAACACACUGAUUGGUAUUGAUCAGACUGUAUGUUAAGCCUGACUCUGAGAUCACUGAGAGAAGACUAGUGCCUGAUGUAUUACGGCAUCUUCAGUCCAGAGCCUGGCAUAUGGAACUUAGUGUAACACAUCACUGAUGGGCGGAUUUAGUGAAUGGGCUCAUGAGCGUACGUUUGGCUUCCCCCAGAAAGGAGCACUAUAUACUGGUAAAAAAAAAAAAAGACUUGACCAAGUGCAAAGAGCCAAAGCAGAGAGGCAGAGCCCAGCUAGGAAGUCAGGUGAGAGGUGGGAGGGACCAUGACAAAGGAACAGGGCUGUAGAUGACCAGGAACCUCAUCUGAGUCAGAGCCAGGGUGAGCAACUCUGAGAAGGAAGGGCUGUCUCUUCUGAGGUCCCAGGGUGACAGUUUUAAAAAGUUGUCUUGCCGUGAGAUGCCAGAGAACAGAUUCUAACAUGACUCGUUUACUCAUAUGUAUCUUACACUGUUAGGAACAAAAUACCCGUCAGAGAUCAUUAAAUCCAAUGGUUUGUAAGCUGCCUUUCACAGAAAUCUAGGAUUCUGCAGAACCAUUUCAAAGACAGGGCAUGUGGGAAGGCUGGUGCUGCAGACCAGGUCAUGAGCACUCCAACCGGGGCAGCUCCACUGGUAACUGGCUUACAUCUUGACCCUCCGCAGAAAACUCUUAGGAGAUGGUUCUGCUUAAAAAAUAAAGGAAGAUAUGGAGGGAGGGGGAAGGAGGGAGGAGAAGGGAUGAAAAGGAAGGGAAAGGAAGAGAGAGGAGGAGAGAGAAGGGGAGAUGGAGGGAAGCAGGAAGGAGGGAGGAAGAGACGGAAGGAGGAGACCAGAAAGUAAGUUAGAAAGGGGGAAGGAAGGAAGGAAGGAAGGAAGGAAGGAAGGAAGGAAGGAAAGGGAGGUGGAGGAAGAAAGGUUAAGGAAAAGAAACAAAGGAAGGAAGAAAACAAACUACCGAUAAAACCCAAACCUGUCAUGAGAAAACGAAGAGUCAGGAGAGAAGUGAUAUUUCUGAGAUCACAGAGGAAGGCGAUGACACCAUCAGGAUGACAAGUCUGGUCCUCUCCUUCCCAACUCAGGACUCCAUGUUUGAGGACAGAAGCUUCAUUAGCUCCUUCUUCCUCCCCUUCACCCCACAACGCAAGGGUGCCCGAACAGAGGCAGCAAGCUCAGGAUGUCCAAUGAAGCAAAAAGCAAAGAUCCUCAAGUUGGUUCGUAUAUAUGCUGACAUUUGAGAAGCAGCAUCCUUGGGAAGCUACUUGAACUGAGUCCUAAAGAAAGAGGUAAGACUGCCAUGUUGAGAAUCGCAUACAACAGCAUGUAUCAUAGGCUCCACUGUCUGCCUCCCAUUUUGGUUCCAACAAAUGCUUUUCAUUCACUUCGCCAGACAGAGUGGAUCAGUGUCAUUGCCAAGGCAAAACAGGACCCGACAUCUUGUAAGCUGAAACAGGCUUGAAAACUCCUGGAGGGGGAAGGAAGUUUACAUCCUGUUGAAGCGCCACAAAGAUGGCAAGUGUGUGGCAUAUGUGCCACUGUAUCCUCGUUCUGUUCCUGUGGUAGACAUCGUUAAUCAAUCCCUGUUCUCUUUCCUGCUUAGCCCAGACACUCUCUCAGAAACCUCAACCUAGCUCUCCAGGCACCCCCUAUCGACGGAAAGAAGCUUGUACCUAAGAGGAUAUCCUUCGAAUCGUGUCCUUCAUCAUUGACUGAUAACAUUAGUCAAAAUAAAUGUUUUACCAGGUACAGGGAGAAAAAAAAAAGACCACCAUCAUUUUUCUUCAUGAUGUGCAUUUCUCAGGAAGAAGAAUCCUUAUUCCAGGGUUAUCGGGUGAAGUGACCAAGCUACCGAUUUAGUGAGCGACAUUUGCGUAUUUCAUCCAAGGGGAAGAAAGGAAGGGGGAGGAAAUGCACAUUUACUGAACCUGUACAUCAUGCACCUUCCUAAGAGUUUUACAUACAGAAUAGCUCAUCCAACCCUCACUACAACCAUACAGGGUAAAUCUGUCAGCCACAUUUUACAGAGGCGGUUAGAGAAGUUAGGUAACCUGCUGCUGUCAAACAGCUAGUGGAGAGGUCUCUCUGGCUUGAAACAUGGGUCCUUUUCCAGUAUACUUUAAUUAACAGGCACAUCACAGAUGUAGUAUUGAUAAAAAACAAAAACAAAACACAAAACAGCAAGGGCUUCACGAUAGUUUUUACUAGAGAGCUCUAAAAGUUAAAAGAGCCACUACAUUCUCUUAAAGGGCCCUUCUUGGCCCAGAAUCUCUGAGUUUCACAUGGCCUGGGACCUAGAUUUCAGCUUCUUGUUGAUCCUCAAAGGACAUGAUAGUGGCUACGGACUAUCUACCUCAGGAGCACAAAAUCCUUAAGGAAAAAAAGCUGGUGGCUUUAUCAGACAAAACCCAAAGCAAUGAUCUGUUGUUUUAACUACUAAUUCUGCAAUCUGGUUUAUUUCCCUUUGGUGGCCCUUGAUGGAGAGUGUAAUAUUAAUGUAUUUAUUAAUACAUCAAUCUUGCUAUUGACAUAAUUGUAUAUUAUAACAAUAAUUACAUUAUUAUCACUGUCACUAUUACUAUAAUGUCACAGGUUGGGUUCUCCAGAAGCAUAGGUGAGAUGGAAUUUAGGGGGCAAGAUAUUUAUUGGGGAUCAACAGAUGUGAAGGGAAAAGGGGAGGAAAUAAGAUAGAACAGGGUGAAGAGCGCUCGAAAAGCCUGAGCAUCAGCAAGGGGCUCUGGAAUGAAUAUUAUCCACCAGGGUUGUCCCCUUCAGGCCAAAAUGGUCCAACCUUUAUCUAUCUGCCUCAUUCAGUCACUAGAGGCUGGAUGCUCUGGGAAGAAUGUGAUGGUACAAGCUCUCUAUGGCAGAGGCAGACCCUGAAAGAGCUGAUAGCUAUAGGCUCUCUGCCGACCACACUCCUUAUAGCUGGACAGCAAGUCCUUUUUGAAGGAGGAGCCAGAUGGUACAUCUUUAUUUACCAAAACGAAUGAUACCUCCUGAUAUCUGAAUGGGGCUUUACAAUUGAUGACAUUUUCAUAUCUGUUAGCACAUUUGCUCCUUGCAAUCCAAAUCUGAACAUGAUGUUUUGUAGUAGAUUCCACUGUUGUCCAAAAUACUUGUUCUUCCCUAUGGAAGGAUUACUUCCUCCCCUACUGACAUCAGGCUCAGUCAUGUGACUUGUGUUGGCCAGUGAGUUAUGAGUGAAAGUGAUGAGCAUCACUUCUGAGCAAAAGCUUUAAGAGCCGUUACAUGUGCUGUCAUCUUCUCUUUUUUUUCCCCUCUGCUAAGAGUCCAGGUUGUCCCACACAGGAGCUGCUCCUUCAGUUCCUGAGUAAAGGCACUGGAGCAAAAACUGCAGGCGCUCCACAAUGGACAUGAAUGCGAGUGAGUUAGAUUCCUCCGUUGUCUCAAGCCACUAAGAUAUUUAGGGAUGUUUGUUGCUACAGCAUAACUUAUCCUAGCUUGACUGAGACACUCCCAUCACUUACAAGCCCAUGCUCCUCAGCAAGGCUUUAUAUAAUCCCACCUCUGCCCGUCUCUCCAGUCUUAUCUCCCACCAUGCCUCACCUUGCUUUCUUCCAACCACAUCACACACAUUUAUCUUCUUGAAAAGCUCCUACCCCUUCUCUAAGAUGUAGCUCAAAUAUUCUCUACUCUAUGCAAUUUUCCCUCAUCCCCUCUCCCUAGGCAGAAAUAACUCCACCAAUCUUUCUCAUUGGGCUGUGUAGAAACUAUUUUGUUAAUCCCUUCCCAGUGCCUAGAACGCUGUCAGGCACUCAGCAGGGGGUCAAUAACAUUUGUUGGAAUAAAUCAUAGUCUAUACUGAUGUGUUAGCGUGUGCCAGGAACUGUAGUAAGUGUUUGAAGAAGAUUAUUUAACUUAAAUUAAGGUAGGUAUUAUUACUGUUCCCUAUUUUUUUAAUGUUUUUAGGUUUAUCCAUUUUACUUUUCUUUUAUUUCUGUGUGUAUUCACAGUAUGACUUGUCAGUAGUAAUAAGAAUUAUAAUUAGGCUCUAAAUACAUAGGUCAUUGUUGAUCACAUAAUGAGAAGUUCCUAGAAGAGAAUACUAGGUAGGGGAAGAGAGAGAAUACCAAAGAAAGGAAAACAGGAAGAUAUUUUUAAAAACUAGGUUUCUUUAUUUCACCUAGUGGUUCCUGAAGACACUCAGAUGCAUUGUUUUUGAAGGGCAGGGUCAGUGUUAAUCUAUGAAAAUCAGAAGAAGGCCUAGCAACUAAAAAAAGUUCAAAUGAAAGUUUCAGCAUUCAAAAGGAAAUAAAGUACCUAAGGAAACUUGGUCCAGCUAUUUUUAAUGUAGUAGAGACCCUAUGUGUGGGGAUAUAUGUAAAAGUCUAUCUACAUUACCUAAUGCUCAGGUAAUACAGUUUUGACAUGACUUAGGAACAGAAUACAUAUCACUGUAUAAAAGAACACAGCAGAAGUACAACUUCUUGUUGAAACCGGGCACUACAGUGAAAUACUAAGUAAGCAGGACAUAGGUUAUAAGGAUUGAAUUCUUUAUGUGCUUUGAUCAAAAGCCAAAAAGAAGGUACUCUGCAACCUUGAAUAAUUUCCCCCAAAUUUGAUUAAAGUCAUCCUCAACAUAAUGAUUCCUACAAAGUUCUGUACGCUGUGACAAAGUGAGAGAGUGACAUGGACAUAUAUACACUACCAAACAUAAAAUAGCUAGCUAGUGGGAAGCAGCCGCGUAGCACAGGGAGAUCAGCUCGGUGCUUUGUGACCACCUAGAGGGGUGGGAUAGGGAGGGUGGGAGGGAGGGAGACGCAAGAGGGAAGAGAUAUG